CCCCUGAGUGCUGGGCAUGCCCUGCCCUAUCACUUACCACCCUAAUCCCCCACAGGGGAGGGAGGGAGCUUUCUCACUGGGCUGCAGGGCAGAGGGGUGAGGGAAGUGAGGAAUAUCCUAAGCAAGAUUAGAGAGGAGAGUAACCUGAUUUCUCUGUUCCCCUCCAUCUGUGAGCCACCCACCUUACUCCCAUUGUAUUGCUAGGCAGAGGGGCAGGGGAUGUGAAAAAACGUCAUCAAGCAGGAUGGAGAUGGAGAGGGGACCAGCUCUGCCCAAGUCCAUCUGCCUUUCUAGUCUUCCUGACUCCAGGGCCAGUGCUUUAUCCAUUGAGCCAUGUAACUACAACAACAUAGACAAGAGAGAAAUUUCCAUGGGUGAGGACUGCUUUCAGAGAGCAGAUUGAAGAGGUUUGAGAAGUGAGUGGCAGGUGAAAAGGUAGAGAAAUUUCUUCCAUGGGGUAGACUCAGAGUGUCAACAGAGGAAGUGAGAAGAAAGCAGUCAUUCACCUAUGCCCUUCCAUCAAAGUACUGAGUGUAUAGAUGCUAAUCCUUAAAUACCCAUUACAUUCUUUCACAAGGAUAUUAUUUUAUCUGGUACAUAAAGUUUUAUAAUGAAAGUUGUAA
rnacentral:lncRNA from 1 species